GGAGUGGAGGAGCCUGGAGCCAGCACACACAGAGCAGGCCCUGCCCUGGCCCCUUCCCCACACCAUUAAUUUAAAAGGGAGAGACAGCAGAGAGGAAGGUGGAGUGAGAUCAGGAAUCCAACACCUGUGACUGACUCUCUGUUUGAAUCCAGCCCUGUGACCCGCAAGGGCUCCUUCUCUGCUCUAUGUCUCGGUCUCCUCACCUACAUAGUGGGGGAAGACGCAGCGCCUGGCGUGUGUGACCUGCGCGGCUUCAUGCCUGGUAUGUCUGCAGACCCAGGCAGAUGCUGCUGUAGGGGCUCAGGAGACAUGGGUGAGGCCCAGCAGCUCCCCGUGGGAGCCUGACUACACACAGGAAGUUACAGCAGAAGAGGGUUUUGGACGUGAAAUACCACUACUGCCGCACUAAAGAUGGGAGUUAGCAACUACUAAGCACUAGCGGAUGUACCAUCCUCUUCUGAGUGAUUACAAAGAACGUAAUCUCCGUAAGAACCCUAUGACAAGGGUACAGUUAUCGCCAGCAUCAGCAUCAGCAUCAGUAUCAGCAUCAUCACCAUCACCAUUCGCCGUCCUGGGGAUUGAACUCAGGGUCUCACACAUACCAGGCGAGUGGUUUACCACUGAGCUACACCACACCCCAAGGGUACUGUUAUUAUCCCACUUUAUGAAGGAGGAAAGUGGGGCUCAGAGAGGCGGAGUACUGGCGCACAGCUCGUGUGGAAGGAAGCUGAGAUUUGCGGCUCCUGACCAAUUUGUGAAUAUCAUUGCUUUUGGGGGCUCCGGGAUAAGUAUUUGAACUGUCAGUUGAGUAGUUACACUCCAUUAAGUAUUCUUCGUUCAAUUUGACCCAUUUUCAACAUGCGUUUGGUAAUUUGUGGGUUUUAUUUCAUUUCAGUGAAGAGGGCUGCCUCUGGGAGUUGGGAGGCUGGUAGUUGAGGGAGGCCGGCAGCUUUCAGGGUGGUAAAGUAGAGAAACCAGGACGCCGUGGACCACAAAAGAUGCCAGGGAUGAGAAGGCCAUCCAGCCCCGGUCACUUGUGUGUAGACUGAAAAAGUGGGUCCAGAGAGGGGCUAAGGGCCACACACCACACACCGCACACACUCAGGAUCCCUCUCUCCAGCCUCCUGCACGUUUGGAAAAGCGUGUCAUAUUCUAUUAAGAGGAACCAAGCUCAGUGUUCAAACACAGUUUCAGCCUAUUUACCCGGGGACAUCAUGGCUUUGGAGGCAACCAACAUGCCCAUUUGUUACUAUUUGCAAAGAUGGUGUUCACCAAACAAGGGCUUUCUGUAAACAAAUUAAAAAGUAAUGAAGUA